UACGGAGGGGGCUAGCGUUGUUCGGAAUUACUGGGCGUAAAGCGCACGUAGGCGGCUAUUCAAGUCAGAGGUGAAAGCCUGGAGCUUAACUCCAGAACUGCCUUUGAAACUAGAUAGCUAGAAUCAUGGAGAGGUGAGUGGAAUUCCGAGUGUAGAGGUGAAAUUCGUAGAUAUUCGGAAGAACACCAGUGGCGAAGGCGGCUCACUGGACAUGUAUUGACGCUGAGGUGCGAAAGCGUGGGGAGCAAACAGGG
rnacentral:rRNA from 1 species